CGGUUGCUUGUGUGCGUGUGGCUAGUCCGGUGAAAAUUUUUCACCAGUUCGUUGUCAUAUUUGCUUUCAUUUCUUCGAAAAGCAUUUCGGAACUUCCUGGGCUGCCGGACAUUAAUUGACUCGAGCAUGCUGUUGCAAAAUAUCCUCAGAAUUCUAGAAACAAUGAUUCCACCAACUUUCGGAACGGAUGUGAAUUCCACCGAUUCAGGGCCUAAACACCGCCGAUGAGGUUCAUAGUGAUUGGUUGCUAGAGCCGAUUGGUAAGGCGGUGGAAGAUGACUUCAACAGAGCGGAAUCGACAGACUUGGGAGACAUAAAGGAAGAAGGCAGGUUUUGGGGUUUCUGCAGAAGUUCAAUGUGGAACAUCCCGAUUAUGAACAUACCAGCGUGAGUGAGAUCAUUACUGAAAUACGAAGUACAAGUUAAAGGCACUAAAAAAUGUGCAUAAAUAAAAAAAUAAAAAUUACAAUACAA